GCCAGGCUCAGUUUGGACUGUAUAGUCAGACUGAAGAGUUAUUUAGCUGAGUUAGCUGGACAGGAAAGCCAUAGUUAGAAUGAACUUUGUUUGCCAUCUAGAGGCAACUGCAGUUUUCCUGUUAAAGCUUUACUUGCCCUUUUCUGCAUUAUAGUCAUUGUUAGUCCUAUGCUUCAGAGGAGGACAGGGUGGCAGUCCCAGUUGGUCUCAAGAGGUCUCCAUGAACGUUGCAGAGUCACAAGUUGGGAACAGUAUUUUUAUUGGAGGAGGAAAUGUACUGAUUUGCGCAAUCACCAGCAGUGAUGGAGGCAUUGGCUGUGUUCUCAGGUGUGUUCCCCUGUUCUUUAAAAGGCUUUCUUAGUUUUGCCAAUGUGGUUUAAGUGGGACAAAGAAAUCUGAGAUUUGUAAUGAAAAGAGAGGAUACAUGCCAUCAAAAUCUCUGAACAUAUUUAACUUUUCCUGACCCUACAAAUUCAUCAGAAUUAAACUAAGUUAAUACUACUUUGAAUUUUUACACUGUCUAGAAUAAUGUCCUUAUAAAUGAAAGCUCUUACAGAGAGUAGCAAGAAAAUUGAAUGAAAGACUCAUGAGACCCAAUGCAAGAUUCCAGAUCUGGCUUAAUUCAGUGAUGGUAUGAGAAAGUUACUCCCUUGUACCCCCAGAUUCCCCAAUUCUCAAGACUGUGUUUAAGGUGACUUCUGUCACCUUAAUCCUGGGCCUAGAGGAAGAAUCAAAUGCAUCUUUCCCUAGAAACCAGAUGGCCUUCUGUUUUCCUUUGCAGAUGCACCUGCUCUUUGUCUUGCUACACUAAGGAUGAGGAGUCUGGACAACAGCCAGCAUCUUAGCUCUUGGGCACUACAUUCCAACUUGGCACAUUUUCUUACACCUGAAAUAAGAUACCAUUAGUGGACUUCAGGUCUCUGGAAGAAAGCACCCUAAAGGGUGUCCCUGUGUGACAAAAGGAACCUAUUGGAAGAAGAGGCGGGCAAUCUGGAGACCUGAAAUGCAGAUUUUCCAUUCAAGACUUGGAAUUCUCUUGAAGCUUCGUCAAGAGAAUAGUUAACUUGGAUAAAAUCAAAGAAGUUUGUUGGAGGGGUGUAGUUUACAGCCAAACCUGUGUUCCCUAUCUGGGCUCUGCUUAAUGCUGUGGGAUUUGGGCAGUCUACUCUUGAGUCUGUUUUCACUUAACUAAAAUGGGAUAAUAAGCCUGAUUUAUGGGGUGUAAAGAUUAAGUGAGAUGGUUUACUGAAAACACUGUUGGUAAAGGCCAAUGUUUUUUCUUCCUGUAGAGAUACAUAGAAAUAAGUUAAAGGAGAUUCUGGAUAUCAUCUAAGAAAGGAAGCCCAGAACUCCAGACCAGGGGUAGGAAAAACUAUUUGAAUCCUUUGUAGCACUCCACUCUCAUCUCCCAGAAAGGCUCAUCACUACCAUCUGGAGGACAACAUAAGUAAUGCAUUGGGAAAGUUCUCUGCUGAGAAAAUGGAAUCAUCUUGAUUCAUAUUCAUUUUCUCUCUCUCCCUCCCUCUCCUCUCCUCUCUUCUUUCUCUCUCUCUUCUCUUCUUCUCUUCUCCUCUUCUUCUUCUUCUUCUUCUUCUUCUUCUUCUUCUUCUUCUUCUCUCUCUCUCUCUCUCUCUCUCUCUCUCUCUCUCUCUGUGUCUCUCUCUGUCUCAUACUGGGGAUUAAAUCCAGGGGUGUUUAAUCAUUGAGCUACAUCCUCAGCCCCUUUUUAGUUUGAGACAUGGUCUCACUAAGUUACAUAUGGCCUUGCUAAAUUGCUGAGCCUGGAUUUGAACUUUCAAUCCUUCUACUUCAGCCUCCUAAAUCACUGGGAUUAUAGGCAUACCCAUAGCUCCUGGCUAAUUUUUUCUUCAUAUGGCCUUCAUUCAUUCUGAAAUAAUUAUGCAGGAUAUGGCAUGCAGAAAUGAGGAAAACAAAAUUCCUGUCUCCAUGGAAUUUAUACUCUAGUGGGGGAAGUCAAUUGUACAUAAUAAGGACAGGUAUGCUGAGGUAAAACAAAGGGAAGACAGUGGUAGGUGAUGUUUUAGGUGGGCAGAAUGAGACCUCUUUGAUCAGAGAUCUUGAGAUCUGAACGGAAUGAGGAAACGAACUGAAUAGGGGAAGAGUACAAUUGAUAUGAGAAAUAAAGUACAAAG
rnacentral:lncRNA from 1 species